AUGCUCUUGAUAUCAUCUACACCGUAUGGAUUUUCCAUCUCAAAGUUACCUCAUAGUUUUUAAUUUUUGACUUUUCCUAUCUGAUAAAUUAGUUGCCAUGUGCUGGGACUUUCACUUGCAUUGAUGUUGGCUUUAUUAUGCUCUGUCAGCUCUACUCAACUCUGAUUAAACCAUGGUGUUCAUUCCAUUGCAACUGUUGUAUGGGCUUGGAUUCCAUGUGGGAUGUUGGUGUUUGUCUAUAAGUCAGAUGUAAUCUUCUUUUUGUCCUUGUACAUGAUUUUUUUUGCAAAAACAUUUUUAAACAGUGCUUAUACAUUUAUUAAAAGGGUUCUUAAUUAUGUAUGGUCGAUUUUGUGGAUUGCAAAAUUGACGCUGUAAGGGGGUACUGCCAUACUGGUUGAUGUCUCUCUGUGUAGGGUUUAAACCAUAAAUUGAUAACUAUGAUGUUUCUUGAAAGUCUUAAGACAAUGAUAUUGGCUAUUGAAUUUGAAGGUCUUGCUAAUUUGAU
rnacentral:misc_RNA from 1 species